CCGCAAGACGAAUUUCCCUAUGGGCUUGCUUCGCAAGACAAAACGUCUUGCGAGUUCUUGCGCCGCUAAGCCGUUAAUAGCCGCUAAGCCGCUAAUAGCCGUGCUUCGCAAGACGAAAAAACCGCAAGACGAAGAGACUCGCAGAACAGAUUAAUUUCGUCUUGCGAGGCACCACUAUAGACAUGAGCUCACUCAGCAGCCCCUCUGCCUGAGUGAUAAUUCCUGGCAUCUUAAUACCUGAGUGCCAGACAGGUAAGGAUUCCAGAAAUAACAAACCCAGAUGAAGACAAAAGGGUGUGAUUAACUUGGCUGGGAAACAGGAAAAUGUAAAUAUCUCUUUUGUUCCCUAGCCGGAAUUAAGUUUGCCUGAAGAAAUAUCAACAACCUCAGAUAUGCAGAUGACACAACCUUGAUGGCAGAAAGUGAGGAGGAAUUAAAGAACCUUUUAUUGAGGGUGAAAGAGAAGAGCGCAAAAUAUGGUCUGAAGCUCAACAUAAAAAAACCGAAGAUCAUGGCCACUAGUCCCAUCACCUCCUGGCAAAUAGAAGGGGAAGAAAUGGAGGCAGUGAGAGAUUUUACUUUCUUGGGAUCCAUGAUCACUGCAGAUGGUGACAACAGCCACGAAAUUAAAAGACACUUCUUGGGAGAAAAGCAAUGACAAACCUAGACAGCAUCUUAAAAAGUAGAGACAUCACCUUGCCAACAAAGGUCCGUAUAGUAAAAGCUAUGGUUUUCCGAGUAGUGAUGUAUGGAAGUGAGAGCUGGACCAUAAAGAAGGCUGAUCACCAAAGAAUUGAUGCUUUUGAAUUAUGGUGCUGGUGGAGACUCUUGAGAGUCCCAUGGACUGCAAGAAGAAUGGGCAUAUUUUUAUUUACAACACUAUCCAUUCUGAAGGAAAUCAGCCCUGAGUGCUCACUGGAAGGACAGAUCGUGAAGCUGAGGCUCCAGUACUUUGGCCACCUCAUGAGAAGAGAAGACUCCCUGGAAAAGACCCUGAUGUUGGGAAAGAUGGAGGGCACAAGGAGAAGGGGACGACAGAGGACGCGAUGGUUGGAUAGUCUUCUCGAAGCUACCAGCAUGAGUUCGACCAAACUGCGGGAGGCAGUGGAAGACAGGAGUGCCUGGCGUGCUCUGGUCCAGGGGGUCAUGAAGAGUCCUAAAUGACUAAACAACAACAACAACACACUUGAUGGGUGUUUGGUGGAGGGAAAGGGGAACCAUGGGGCAGGGUCCAGGAUGCUCAGAUUACUGCCACCAGACCUCCCCUUUCAUGAUGUAACUGUGAUGUAGUUUGGGGGGGAUGUAACGUGGGGAUUAGCAGCUAAUAAAAGUUUGGGGGCUCUUUUGUUCGGGGCUUCCAUCUUGUUUCACCUUGUGGCAGGUGUGAGUCCUGUCACGACAGUCUUCAAUAAAGACCAAGCCUACUGGCUGCUGUUUUGCUCUGGUAUUCUUGGGGGGUGUCCUUGUUUUUUGUCCAAGGGAGCCCUCAGAUUUCUCCGUUAACAUCCUUCUUGAGGCUUUGUCCUCACAACAACCCUGUGAGGUAUACUACGAGAGAUUCUGGCCUGAAUGGGGAGCUGAGCCCUGGUCUCUCCCAGGUCUCUGCAGCCCACUCUGACCACUGCACCAAACUGGCUUAUAGAGAGAUGAAAGAGACGGG